rfam:Stegodyphus mimosarum contig19816, whole genome shotgun sequence.
GCCGAAGUAGCUCAGUUAGGAGAGCGUUAGACUGAAGAUCUAAAGGUCCCUGGUUCGAUCUCGGGUUUCGGCA